rnacentral:rRNA from 1 species
GCUUUGAAGCGUGGACGCCAGUUCGCGUGGAGCCAUCCUUGAAAUACCACCCUGGCAACCUUGAGGUUCUAACUCUGGUCCGUUAUCCGGAUCGAGGACAGUGUAUGGUGGGUAGUUUGACUGGGGCGGUCUCCUCCUAAAGAGUAACGGAGGAGUACGAAGGUGCGCUCAGACCGGUCGGAAAUCGGUCGUAGAGUAUAAAGGCAAAAGCGCGCUUGACUGCGAGACAGACACGUCGAGCAGGUACGAAAGUAGGUCUUAGUGAUCCGGUGGUUCUGUAUGGAAGGGCCAUCGCUCAACGGAUAAAAGGUACUCCGGGGAUAACAGGCUGAUACCGCCCAAGAGUUCAUAUCGACGGCGGUGUUUGGCACCUCGAUGUCGGCUCAUCACAUCCUGGGGCUGAAGCCGGUCCCAAGGGUAUGGCUGUUCGCCAUUUAAAGUGGUACGCGAGCUGGGUUUAGAACGUCGUGAGACAGUUCGGUCCCUAUCUGCCGUGGACGUUUGAGAUUUGAGAGGGGCUGCUCCUAGUACGAGAGGACCGGAGUGGACGAACCUCUGGUGUUCCGGUUGUCACGCCAGUGGCAUUGCCGGGUAGCUAUGUUCGGAAAAGAUAACCGCUGAAAGCAUCUAAGCGGGAAACUUGCCUCAAGAUGAGAUCUCACUGGAGCCUUGAGCUCCCUGAAGGGCCGUCGAAGACUACGACGUUGAUAGGUGGGGUGUGUAAGCGCUGUGAGGCGUUGAGCUAACCCAUACUAAUUGCCCGUGAGGCUUGACCAU